rnacentral:rRNA from 1 species
CCUACGGGAGGCUGCAGUGAGGAAUAUUGGUCAAUGGACGAGAGUCUGAACCAGCCAAGUAGCGUGAAGGAUGACUGCCCUAUGGGUUGUAAACUUCUUUUAUAUGGGAAUAAAACGUUCCACGUGUGGGAUUUUGUAUGUACCAUAUGAAUAAGGAUCGGCUAACUCCGUGCCAGCAGCCGCGGUAAUACGGAGGAUCCGAGCGUUAUCCGGUUUUAUUGGGUUUAAAGGGAGCGUAGGUGGAUUGUUAAGUCAGUUGUGAAAGUUUGCGGCUCAACCGUAAAAUUGCAGUUGAAACUGGCAGUCUUGAGUACAGUAGAGGUGGGCGGAAUUCGUGGUGUAGCGGUGAAAUGCUUAGAUAUCACGAAGAACUCCGAUUGCGAAGGCAGUUCACUGGACUGCAACUGACACUGAGGCUCGAAAGUGUGGGUAUCAAACAGGAUUAGAUACCCCAGUAGUC